rnacentral:rRNA from 1 species
CCUACGGGAGGCUGCAGUGGGGAAUAUUGGGCAAUGGGCGCAAGCCUGACCCAGCAACGCCGCGUGAAGGAAGAAGGCUUUCGGGUUGUAAACUUCUUUUGUCAGGGACGAAGCUAGUGACGGUACCUGACGAAUCAGCCACGGCUAACUACGUGGCAGCAGCCGCGGUAAGACGUAGGUGGCAAUCGUUAUCCGGAUUUACGGGGUGUAAAGGGCGAGUAGGCGGGGAAGCAAGUCAGAUGUGAAAACCACGGGCUCAACCGGUGGCCUGCAUUUGAAACUGUUUGUCUUGAGUGCUGGAGAGGCAAUCGGAAUUCCGUGUGUAGCGGUGAAAUGCGUAGAUAUACAGAGGAACACCAGUGGCGAAGGCGAAUUGCUGGACAGUAACUGACGCUGAGGCGCGAAAGCGUGGGGAGCAAACAGGAUUAGAUACCCGAGUAGUC